ensembl:snoRNA
AAGACUAUACUUUCAGGGAUCAUUUCUCUAGUUCGUUACUAGAGAAAUCACACUGAUCGUGUAGAGCACCCCAAACCACGAGGAAGAGGUGUAGUGUUCUCUCCUGAGCGUGAGGCUGGCUCUAGGUGUUGCUUUACUGCAACUGCCUUUUGCCAUUGAUGAUCCUUCUUCCCUUCCUUCGCUAAGGGUUAGAGGGAGAGAAUGCAGUCUGAGUGGUA